rnacentral:rRNA from 1 species
CGAGUGGCGAACGGGUGAGUAAAGUAUCGGAACGUGACCUUUCAGUGGGGGAUAACGUAGCGAAAGUUACCGACUAAUACCGCAUAUGUUCUGUGAGCAGGAAAGCAGGGGAUCGCAAGACCUUGCGCUGAUUGAGCGGCCGAUAUCAGAUUAGCUAGUUGGUGGGGUAAAGGCCUACCAAGGCGACGAUCUGUAGCGGGUCUGAGAGGAUGAUCCAGCCACACUGGAACUGAGACACGGUCCAGACUCCUACGGGAGGCAGCAGUGGGGAAUUUUGGACAAUGGGGGCAACCCUGAUCCAGCCAUGCCGCGUGAGUGAAGAAGGCCUUCGGGUUGUAAAGCUCUUUCGGCCGGGAAGAAAUCGCACAGGCUAAUACCCUGUGUGGAUGACGGUACCGGAAUAAGAAGCACCGGCUAACUACGUGCCAGCAGCCGCGGUAAUACGUAGGGUGCGAGCGUUAAUCGGAAUUACUGGGCGUAAAGCGUGCGCAGGCGGUUUCGUAAGACAGAGGUGAAAUCCCCGGGCUCAACCUGGGAACUGCCUUUGUGACUGCGAGGCUAGAGUACGGCAGAGGGGGGUGGAAUUCCACGUGUAGCAGUGAAAUGCGUAGAGAUGUGGAGGAACACCGAUGGCGAAGGCAGCCCCCUGGGCCGAUACUGACGCUCAUGCACGAAAGCGUGGGUAGCAAACAGGAUUAGAUACCCUGGUAGUCCACGCCCUAAACGAUGUCAACUAGGUGUUGGGUGGGUAAAACCAUUUAGUACCGUAGCUAACGCGUGAAGUUGACCGCCUGGGGAGUACGGCC